GUUUGAUCAUGGCUCAGAUUGAACGCUGGCGGCAUGCUUUACACAUGCAAGUCGAACGGCAGCAUAGGUGCUUGCACCUGAUGGCGAGUGGCGAACGGGUGAGUAAUAUAUCGGAACAUGUCCGGAAGUGGGGGAUAACGUAGCGAAAGUUACGCUAAUACCGCAUAUGCCCUGAGGGGGAAAGGGGGGGAUCGCAAGACCUCUCGCUUUCGGAGUGGCCGAUAUCGGAUUAGCUAGUAGGUGAGGUAAAGGCUCACCUAGGCGACGAUCCGUAGCUGGUCUGAGAGGACGACCAGUCCGAGUGGGACUGAGACACGGUCCACACACCUACGGGUGGCAGCAGUUGGGAAUCUUGCACAAUGGGGGAAACCCUGAUGCAGCGACGCCGCGUGGAGGACGAAGGAUCUAGGUCUGUAAACUCCUUUUGCCAGGAAAGACUUAGGACGGUACCUGGCGAAUAAGCUCCGGCUAACUACGUGCCAGCAGCCGCGGUAAUACGUAGGGAGCGAGCGUUGUCCGGAUUUACUGGGCGUAAAGGGCGCGUAGGCGGCCUGCUAAGCGUGAAGUGAAAUCUCCAGGGCUCAACCCGGAAACUGCUUUGCGAACUGGCUGGCUAGAGGAAGGCAGAGGUGAAUGGAAUUCCUGGUGUAGCGGUGACAUGCAUUGAUAUCAGGAGGAACACCCGUGGCGAAGGCGGUUCACUGGGCCUUAUCUGACGCUGAGACUCGAAAGCGUGGGGAGCAAACAGGAUUAGAUACCCUGGUAGUCCACGCCCUAAACGAUGCAUACUUGGUGUGGGUUCUUCACUGGAUCCGUGCCGGAGCUAACGCGUUAAGUAUGCCGCCUGGGGAGUACGGUCGCAAGGCUGAAACUCAAAUGA
rnacentral:rRNA from 1 species